ensembl:lncRNA
AAACAUAAAACUGCAAUAUUAAGUCAUAAUUGUAUACAAUUAACUUUAGUACAUACUAUACUACUGAACUGAUACUACUAUAAUAAUUUUGUAGCCGCUUCCUGUUGCUAUUGCAGUGAGCGCCACUUAAAAUGUUGUGUGAUGCUAACAUCUCUGCAUGAGUGGUUUGUUUCUCCAGUAAAUUGUGUAUCACAGUAAAAAGUGAUCUCUUAUGAUUCUUGCAGGGUUUUCACCUUUUUUAGUGCAGGACCAUAAACUUAACAAACACCACGGGCCCCAUACAAAGUGCUGCUAGUGAUGCUGGAAAUACUCACAGGAAGCAGACAAAAGUCAUGGAAAAGUUGAAUUGCUUUAUCUGUGCUAUAUAGAUCAAGGUCUGCAGCUGUGGUUGCCCACCAUUUCAAGGUAAAUGAAUUUAGGGUAAAGGCUAUUGUAAAAAAAAAAGGAAAUUCAUGAAGGUAUUGCUGUAGCUAUGCCAGCAGACACAAAAUCCUUGCACUUUUUGCAAAAUACCUUUUUAGCUUGUAUUGAAAAUGCAGCUUUUAUGUGGGUUCAGGAUUGCUAUUAAAAAGGCAUACCUAUAGACUCUAAUAUGAUUUGAGAAAAAGUGGAGAAAAUAUAUGCCAACUUAAAGCAAAAGGAAUGUAAAGGAUCUAAACUAGAGACUUUAAUAUCAGAAGAAGAUAGUUUGAGUUACAGAGGUAUGGCUUAAAAAAUAUCAAGUAACAGGAGAAGCGGCUUCUGUUGACCAAGAGGCUGCAGACGAGUUACCAGAUGCCAUUAUGAAAAUCAUUAAGGAGAAAGGAUAUCUGCCUGAACAGGUUUUUAAUGCAGAUGAAACUGCCUUAUUCUGGCGGGCAAAAAAAUGCCAACAAGAACACUUAUUAGUAAGGAAUAGAAACAUGCACCAAGAUUUAAACAGGAAGAGAUAGGCUAACUACUGUUUUGUGAAAAUACAAUCAGUUUUAUCCAAGACAGCCCUUAGCUAUAAAGCUGCUAGUCCCUGGACCUUAAUAGAGAAAGAUAAGCACCAGCCGUCUGUCUUUUGGUUGUACAAGAAGGCCUAAACAAUGAGAACCUUUUUUUGGGAUUGAUCCUAACAAUGUUCUGUCUCUAAAGUCAGAAAGUACCUUACCAGAAAGGAACUGCUUUUUAAAGUUCUUUUGAUACUGGAAAAUCUCCCUGGCCGCCCAGAACCCCAUGAAUUCAACAUUGAAGGCAUCAAAGUGACCCACUUGCUCCCAAACACAUCUCUAACUCAGCCUCUAGAUCAAGGAGUUCUAGGGAGCUUUAAGGCUCAUUACACAUGGUACUCUACAGAAAGAAUUGUUAAUGCUAUGGCAAAGUACCCAGAUACAGAGAACAUCAUGAAAGUCUGAAAUGAUGACACUGUUGAAAUGAUUACAUCAUUGAAGAUGUCAUCAUAGUUAUAGAAAAGCCAUGAAAACCAUCAAGCCCAAAACUAUAAAUUCCUGUUGGAGUAAACGGUAUCCAGAUGUUGGCAUGAUUUCACAGAAUUUACAGGGAAAUCAUGAAAGAGAUCAUGGAUAUGGGAAAAAAAAAGUAGGGUGUGGUGGGGUGGGGUGGGUGAAGGGUUUCAAGAUUAGAUCUUGCAAAACUUCAAAAGCUGCUGGAUACCACACUAGAGGAAUUGACAGAAGAUGGCUUGACGGAGGCAAGUGCUUCUGAACCAGUUCUAGACGAGGAGGGAGAUGUAGAAGCAGCAGUGCCAGAAAGUAAAUUGACAUAGACAGUCCGGCAGAAGGGUUUCCAUCAUUGAAGACUGCUUUGACUUCUUUACAACACAGACCCUUUUAUGGAUAUGGACACUGGAGCAAAAGCAAAUGGUGGAGAAAGCAUUGAUAUCAUAUAGAAACAGUUUUUAGAAGUAUGAAAAAGCAAAAAAGUCAGAAGAUAUUAUUAUGUAUUUUGAUGUUAUACUGAAUGUGCUUGCCUUUCCUGCCUCCCUUUCCACCUCCUCCACCUCUGCCACCCCUGAGACAGCAAGACAAAGCUGUCCUCUUCCUCCUUGUCCUCAGCCUACUCAGUGUGACGAUGACAAGGAUGAAGACCUUUAUGAUGAUCCACCUCCACUUAAUGAAUAGUAAACAAUCGCUGUGCCAUAUGGUUACCAUACGAAAACCUAUCUGUUGUAUAUGUGUGUGUAUCGUUGUGUGAAAAUCUGAUAACUUCUACAAGAACUGUAUGAGAUGUUUUUGUGUCAUCAUGGUUCUCAUCACUGCCUAAGAAUUCAUGGUGUAGAACACUGUGUGCAAGACUUGUGUUGCAGUGGAUGGCAUAUCCUUCGAUGGGCAUAAGUGCCCUUCAGAGACCUCUGCUGUCCGUGCAGACUCCACUUCUGGGUUUUAUGUGAGCAACACCCUGCCUCCCACAGCAUUCCUUAACUAGAUGUCUAUCUUUGGCCCCAAGGAAUGUGGACGGAGCACCAAAAUCCAUCUCUGGCAUUGGAAAAUCCAUUCAGAGCACAUGGAUUGCGAGCAGUCACUAAUA